UACAUAGGGGGCAAGCGUUAUCCGGAAUUAUUGGGCGUAAAGCGUGCGUAGGCGGUUUAUUAAGUCUGAUGUUAAAUCCCACAGCUUAACUGUGGGCUGCCAUUGGAAACUGGUAGACUUGAGUGCGGUAGAGGUAAGUGGAAUUCCAAGUGGAGCGGUGGAAUGCGUAGAUAUUUGGAGGAACACCAGUGGCGAAGGCGGCUUACUGGGCCGUUACUGACGCUGAGGCACGAAAGCGUGGGGAG
rnacentral:rRNA from 1 species